rnacentral:rRNA from 1 species
AAUGGGCGCAAGCCUGAUCCAGCAAUGCCGCGUGCAGGAUGAAGGCCUUCGGGUUGUAAACUGCUUUUGUACGGAACGAAAAAGCUCUCUCUAAUACAGGGGGUGAAUGACGGUACCGUAAGAAUAAGCACCGGCUAACUACGUGCCAGCAGCCGCGGUAAUACGUAGGGUGCAAGCGUUAAUCGGAAUUACUGGGCGUAAAGCGUGCGCAGGCGGUUUUGUAAGACAGAGGUGAAAUCCCCGGGCUCAACCUGGGAACUGCCUUUGUGACUGCAAAGCUGGAGUGCGGCAGAGGGGGAUGGAAUUCCGCGUGUAGCAGUGAAAUGCGUAGAUAUGCGGAGGAACACCGAUGGCGAAGGCAAUCCCCUGGGCCUGCACUGACGCUCAUGCACGAAAGCGUGGGGAGCAAACA